rnacentral:rRNA from 1 species
UACGAAGGGGGCUAGCGUUGCUCGGAAUCACUGGGCGUAAAGCGCACGUAGGCGGCUUGUUAAGUCAGGGGUGAAAUCCUGGAGCUCAACUCCAGAACUGCCUUUGAUACUGGCGAGCUUGAGUCCGGGAGAGGUGAGUGGAACUGCGAGUGUAGAGGUGAAAUUCGUAGAUAUUCGCAAAAACACCAGUGGCGAAGGCGGCUCACUGGCCCGGUACUGACGCUGAGGUGCGAAAGCGUGGGGAGCAAACAGG